CCGAACCAGGGAUCAAACCCAGGUCUCCUGCAUUGCAGGCAGCUUCUUUACCGUGACUCUGGGCGUGGCGUUUGGGCACAUAGGCACUCCAGUUCCACACUGCCCCCUGCCCUACCAACCCUAAUCUCCUGAAGGCAGAGCGCUUGAGAGGCAGCGGGAAAGAACAGGACAUCCUUGUGGUGUGCUCCGGCGAGGAAAUUCCUCGUGGGAUGGAGGCCUGGAUGGAGAACUUAGCAGAGUUCAUUACCCAGCUGGGCGGCUUCCUCUAGGAACAAGCCACGCCUCUCCUUGCUGGGCGUGCCUUAUCCCAGUCUGCUCAUCUGCUCCCUAAUUUGAUCAAAUAUAUUGAUUUUUUUAGAUGUACCCAUCCUUUCCAACUAUUUAUAGCUUUUCAGAAUCUCUUCUCGGACUAUAAUAAGCUUAUCAAAAGUAA